GGGAAACAGUCCUAGAAACACCUCGCGAGGCAGCUGAGCAUUAAAUCAGGAAGCCAAGGCGAGCGCCCUCCCAAGGAUGCCUGGUGGCAGGUCCCCUUCCCUCACCAUUCUGCCAUCACCCUGGGCCUUGUGGGAGAGGAGCCUGCAGAUUCUGUUGACCCAGUUUCCUUCUCUGUAAAAUGGGGAAAUUGGUCAUUUAAUUUAAUUCGAUUUAUGGAAUGGAAAAUAUUUUCACAUAGAUCAAAAUUCAAAAGUUGGGCGGGCAUGGUGGCUCACGCCUGCAGUCCCAGCACUUUGAGGCUGAGGC
rnacentral:lncRNA from 1 species